AACUAAGUCCUCUUUCCUUUCGUCUCCAUCGUCCGUGUAGUCGCUUCCACCCGAGCUGCGCCACUUAAACUAGUUAUGAAACUUGAUAUAACCUGGAAACUGCAGUAGAAGGCAAUAGUUAGACGGUAGUUAAACGAAAGUGUGUGUUUUUAAACAAAACGCGGUUCGUGUGGUCGUUAGCUGCUGAGAUUGUUGAGUGCACGCGCUUAGGCGGCCACGUGGAGAAGCUGGAACAUGGAGGAAGAUGAUAAGACGAGGGGGAACUUGGUCUCAGCUCCUCACAUUACGACGUCUCGUGCAUUUGAGGACAGACUGUGCACAAUCGAGGAGAUGCUGGUGACAUCUUGGACGAUACACCUGACUAAUGAGCUGCAUGAUGGGUAAAGCUGGAUGUGGAAAGAAGGUGCCUCAUUUUGAUGUGGCUGCAGCUAUUGGAGAUGUUCUUAUUCUGCCAGUCUGGCCCUGUCGCCUAAAGUCUGCUGUUCAGUGAUUUUCAACAGGUAAAGCUGGAUGUGGAAAGAAGGUGCCUCAUUUUGAAGUGGCUGCAGCUAUUGGAGAUGUUCUUAUUCUGCCAGUCUGGACCUGUUGCCUAAAGUCUGCUGUCGAGUGAUUUUCAACAGGGUCGGGCUGCACGUUGAAGCUGGAAAGGUGCCUCAUUUUGAUGUGGCUGCAUCUUCUGGAUGAUCUGUCAAGAGUGUACUCUGCCUUUUGCCCUUUUGUCAGCUGUGAGUGGCACAGUGGCACCCUCAUGUGGAGUGGUAGAAGAUGGAUGGAGCUGUUGGACAGAUCCUUAUUCUGCCAUUCUGGUCCUGUCGGCUGUGCAGUGAUUUUUAACAGAUGUCGACAAGCGUGAUGGGUUAUGAUUCGAGGAUGGACGUGUGCUUAUUCAAAAAGCACGAGACCCUUUUACUUCCUCACCCACAAUGGCAAGAAUUAAGAACCUGACGUGAUUUGAACUGCAACCUUCUGAUCUGGAGUCAGACCCUGCUGUUACAACAUAGUCACACACAUGCUGACAGAGGCUUGUGUAAAUGGGGUGAAUUCUGUCAUCUCAUUGCAAUGCUUUGUAACUCUAUGAGCCAUCCAUCUAAACUAAUGACGUUGCAAAAACCUAAUAAAAUGAACAUGUUGGGUAAUUUUCA